rnacentral:misc_RNA from 1 species
AAGUCGUAACAAGGUUUGGAUCAGCAAAGUCAAUUUCAACAGGAGGGCUCCUCUCGCUGACCUGCCUCCAUUCCUGGCGUUUCAGCGGGAACCUAUUUUACACUAUUCACCCCUUUUUUGCUAGUUGACUUUUAUAUGUUGCAUCUUUGCUUCGGCAACGGUGCACACGUUUAAUUAUUUGAACGUUAAAAAUACAACUCUUAGCAAUGGAUAUCUUGGUUCUC